GACGAACGCUGGCGGCGUGCUUAACACAUGCAAGUCGAACGGAAAGGCCCUGCUUUUGUGGGGUGCUCGAGUGGCGAACGGGUGAGUAACACGUGAGUAACCUGCCCUUGACUUUGGGAUAACUUCAGGAAACUGGGGCUAAUACCGGAUAGGAGCUCCUGCUGCAUGGUGGGGGUUGGAAAGUUUCGGCGGUUGGGGAUGGACUCGCGGCUUAUCAGCUUGUUGGUGGGGUAGUGGCUUACCAAGGCUUUGACGGGUAGCCGGCCUGAGAGGGUGACCGGCCUCAUGGGGCAUAAUGUAGCGCCCAGACUACUCCGGCAGGAACUACUCAGGAACAUUGAACAAUGCACCGCGACCGUAUGCAGCAACCCCACGUGCGGGAACAUGCCCUUCGGCUUGUAAGCAGCUUUCGCCUGUGACACAAAGAGAGUGAAGCUCAUCGAUAAACAAGCUCCGGUUAACUACCUG
rnacentral:rRNA from 1 species